rnacentral:tRNA from 2 species
GCACCCUUAGCUCAGUUGGUAGAGCAUAUGACUCUUAAUCAUCAGGUCGCGGGUUCGAGUCCCGCAGGGUGCACCA